rnacentral:rRNA from 1 species
UACGAAGGGGGCUAGCGUUGCUCGGAAUUACUGGGCGUAAAGGGAGCGUAGGCGGAUGUUUAAGUCAGGGGUGAAAUCCUGGAGCUCAACUCCAGAACUGCCUUUGAUACUGAGGAUCUUGAGUUCGGGAGAGGUGAGUGGAACUGCGAGUGUAGAGGUGAAAUUCGUAGAUAUUCGCAAGAACACCAGUGGCGAAGGCGGCUCACUGGCCCGAUACUGACGCUGAGGCACGAAAGCGUGGGGAGCAAACAGG